rnacentral:lncRNA from 1 species
ACAUUCCAGAUGGGUGGAGCUAGGGAAAGCCUUCAUGGAAAGGGUUUCAUCUUUCUGAACAUUCACCACACUGGUGGACAAAUCCUUUUUGUGUGAGGAAGAUGUGGCUGUUGGGAGAGUCAAGUAAUUGAAUGACGUGAAUUUCCUGGAGUUUCCAUAAGUUCCUGUAAAUUUAGCCUCCAACUGAAAUAAACCAACUGAAUGUAAGACAUCAGACCCUAAAGAACCAAAGUUGUUAUUUCUGUGGAAGACCAGCCAACCUAUUCUCACAGCUGAAACAAUGGAUCUGGCCUGCAGAGUGUUAAGGCAUUCUCCAAGUUUCAAAACAAGAGUACACCAUUUUGAAGGCCUAUAAAUAGAAAGAAUUUUUCAAAUAUUAAUUCAGUAAUGACCUCUGUCUUUGGAAAAGAUAAUUGCAAUGUGUUACUGCGAACCAAUUUAAACCUGUAUUUCUCAUUGCAUUUAAUAUUUAAUUUUGUUUUUUAUCAUUAUAUAUCAACAGUUCUUUCUGGAGCAAAGCAAUCCUAUUUGACUUUUUUUUUUUUUAACCUUAUAGUGCACACACACAUGUAUGUGUAGGGUUAUUUAAACAAGGAAACAUUUACAUCAAAAUGUGCAAAGAGUUAUCCUGGAAUAGAAAUGCUGAAAAUAUAUUUUCAAGAAGUUUUAAAAUUCUAGGCUGGCCUCAAUGUAUUCAGUAGCAUGCCAGAAACAGAAAAAAAAAUUUAAUCUCUCCAUUUGCUUAUUCCUAUUAACAUAUAUAGAAAAAAAACUUGCUCUAAACCUAAUGCCUAUGCGAUAUGUUUGUUUCCUGAUGCUGAUGAUAAAUCAUAACCGGGCACUUGGUUAUAUUUUUUAAUGUUCUACAUUUCUAGCACUGCUACUGUAUUCACAAUGAGCUUUAUAUCUGACAGUAAUUUUAUUUUCAGGUUCAGUCAUAUGAUGCCUUUCUAUAGGAAUAGGUUCUAUCACAGGAACAAAUUAUUCAAAUCUAGUUUAACGGACUCAGCAAUUCUCCUCAGUUUUAUCUUGGGCAUUUUGUAUUCCUUUGCCUAAACCUAGUGGCUAUGUAACAAUUCAAUUACCAAAGUCCUUCAUCCAGAAAGUGCUGUUGAUUUCCAGUAAUUCUUAUUCUGUUUGAUUUCUUUUUUUUUUCCUCCUAGUUUAACACAUGCCAGUUGGUGUCGACUGAGUUAAAAAUCUUGAAAUAAGCCUGGCACUGUGUCAGUACAUAGGUUAAAAAAUGAAACAAAAAAAUUUAAUAAAAUAUACGCUAGAAAUGGAAAAUAAGAUUAGCAGUGGCAUUUCUUGUCAUAAGGACAUUUUCUGUCUAUGCACACAAAAUAAAACCAGCUCAGUGUAGCUGAAGAAGAGAGGAAAGAGAGAGGUGGUAUAAAUUGAAAGACGAAAAGGCAGAGACUGAGUGUACAGAAGCGCGUUGAGAGCAUGCAGUCAGCUGGCAAGAAAAGGCAACUCGAAGAGCCUCAGAAGGUAAAACCUCAGUUGGCAGAUAAAGUGGGUAAGAAGCAAGUUUUGAAAUAAAAUAGCAAUAGCAUAAGCAACUUGAAGGAAGAUGAAAAGAGCAAGGUGAUAAAAGUAUGCAAGAGUCUUUGGAGAUUAUUAGUAAUUUUAGGGAAUUACAAUGAUGAAAAGUUAUAAGGGAAAAAGACUUUACAUAUUCUUUAAUAAAAGAAAAUUACCUGUCAAAAUCUGUCUGCAUAGACACUAGUAUUAGAUUCUUGUUCUUCAAGAAAAAGGCAUGUCUGCUGGUCAGGCUGAGGUAUCAUCUAUCCUCUAUUUCUCUAAAUAAUGUUUUUCUGAUAAAAUAUGCAAAUACACAAUACACAUAUAUAUUUUGUGUGUAUAUUAUGUGUAUAUGUGUGUGUGUGUACAUACUUAUACAUAAAAUAAACACUCUGGAACUAAAAUUUCAAAGAAAGUCAAAGAAAAUAGACAAUAGUGGAACUCCACAAAACUUACCAGUAACCUGAAAUAGUGUAACAAAUUUAAAAUUAAUUCCCAUAAAUCUUCUACAU